rnacentral:rRNA from 1 species
GAUGAACGCUGGCGGCGUGCUUAACACAUGCAAGUCGAACGGGAUCCAAGGGGUGCUUGCACUUUUUGGUGAGAGUGGCGAACGGGUGAGUAACACGUGAGUAACCUGUCCUUUUCUUUGGGAUAAGCAUUCGAAAGGGUGUUUAAUACCUUAUGUUCUGUCUGCCUCGCAUGGGGUGGGUGGGAAAGGCUUUGGCCGGAUUUGGGUGGGCUCGCGGUCUAUCAGCUUGUUGGUGGGGUGAUGGCUUACCAAGGCUUUGACGGGUAGCCGGCCUGAGAGGGUGGUCGGUCACAUUGGGACUGAGAUACGGCCCAGACUCCUGCGGGAGGCAGCAGUGGGGGAUAUUGCACAAUGGGCGAAAGCCUGAUGCAGCGACGCCGCGUGGGGGAUGAAGGCCUUCGGGUUGUAAACUUCUGUUGCUCUGAACAAGGCAUGCCAGUGGGUGUGUUGAGUGUAGGGGUUGAUUACCGCCGGCUAACUACGUG